ensembl:lncRNA
AGAGUUAUUAACCAAGUCUUUACGUGUCUGCUUGUGUUUUUCAGAUGACUCAGUGUUUUGCUAAGCAGAGUUCUGUGUCGCUCCUCCACUUCCUGCUGAAGAGCAAAUAAAGAGGAAUUUUCUCACAGACUGCAUUCAAACACAAACAGUUUGUGAGCCAGAAGAGUUUAAUACCUGAGGAAUUCUAAUCUGCAUACUUGCACUUUGAAUCAGUUAACUGGAUCUGCCUGGGAUAGCAGCAUCCUUGUGUUCUGAGGAAGGCACAUCCCAUUCUGUUGUGUGCCUCUUGGACAUCUCCCUAAUUUGAAACAGAAACACCCCCACCCCAUGAAGCUUUUGAAAAUAAUUGAGGCAAAGAAGCUACUACUAAGAGGACACCAUGCUUUAAUGAUUCUAGCUGAAGGAAAAAGUGUAAGAAUUGUGGAAUUGAUGAUAGAAACUGUGUCAGAGAAGGAUGAAGAGCAAACCAGAACUGCUGGUGUUGAAAAUGACUUGCAAUUUAAGUAAGAAGAAAUAUCAAAUAUCUCCCUGAAGCUGAAGAAUUUGGGAAAAUUACAUGUGAGGAGUUAAAAAACUUGGAAAUUACUUAAAAGGUGCAUGAAACACUUGAAAGCAACAAGCCAGCAUCCAAACAAAAGAGGGUUGUCAUCUGGUACUGCUGCUGCCCACUCUUCAAAACAGAAAUCAUUCCUGACUUCAGUGGGUCUGUUUUCCUAGCAGACAAAACAAUUGGUUUUGGAUGCUAAAUUGUUAACCCAAGUCAGCUCUGCUGACCUACAGCUAAUCUUUUCAGUCAGGAGAUUGAAACUUAAACCCAAACUUAGCUCCUUCUGACUAAUCCAAGUGAAUUUAGCACAAAGAUGAUUCCACCUCAUCCACGUGAAUUUGUUUCUGUGCAAAUGUUAUGUUGGGUAUUAUGAGCAGAAAGUGACACAUGUGUUUGUGCCUUCUAAAUAAAAGCCUUUUGU